CCGCAGCCAGAGCGGCCCUCGGGGGAUCUGGACACUGAUAGGCCGGUAGUGCAGUGAUCGACGAAAACACCGGCAGCC
rnacentral:sRNA from 12 species